AACGAACGCUGGCGGCAGGCCUAACACAUGCAAGUCGAGCGGACCUUUCGGGGUCAGCGGCGGACGGGUGAGUAACGCGUGGGAAUAUGCCCUUCUCUACGGAAUAGUCCUGGGAAACUGGGGGUAAUACCGUAUACGCCCUUUGGGGGAAAGAUUUAUCGGGGAAGGAUUAGCCCGCGUUGGAUUAGGUAGUUGGUGGGGUAAUGGCCUACCAAGCCGACGAUCCAUAGCUGGUUUGAGAGGAUGAUCAGCCACACUGGGACUGAGACACGGCCCAGACUCCUACGGGAGGCAGCAGUGGGGAAUCUUAGACAAUGGGGGCAACCCUGAUCUAGCCAUGCCGCGUGAGUGAUGAAGGCCUUAGGGUUGUAAAGCUCUUUCAGCUGGGAAGAUAAUGACGGUACCAGCAGAAGAAGCCCUGGCUAACUCCGUG
rnacentral:rRNA from 1 species